CUCAGGUGGAAAAUGCAAAUGCAAAUUUAACCGCAAAGCCAGCCGGCGGCCGAGUGAGCCCCUUCACCUCGUCACCCCCGGCACCGCCAGUAACUGCUGAACCACGAUGGUCCUGGUGCCAGGUCUCGCCCAGGGCGCUAGCUCCUUGCUGGGACGUCCCAUCCCCC